UUUGUUGUCACGAUGUAGUCAGAGAAAUGCUUGGCUUUUAGUGUAGCCAAACGUGAACUUCAGAAACGGCAUUGCAUAGACAAGUAUCUGCAUCCACAUUCCAAAAAACCUUGGAUAAUUGGACAUCAUGCUGAAUUCUAAGAAGAAAUUGUUGACCGCUUACAUAUGUUAGCAAAACAACUUCAGCACUAUUAAGCAAAAACAAAAAGAUCGGGAAUGAUUGAGAUACAGAGCCCUGGUUGCCUACAUAUGUUAGACUAGAAAUGAAGCAAGCCCAAGUAAGGAGAUGAAGACAUAUGAAUUGAAGCCACUUCUCAGAUGAAAUCAACAAUACGCAUGAGC